GACGAACGCUGGCGGCGUGCCUCAUACAUGCAAGUCGAACGCCGUGGGAACGGGUGAGUAACACGUGGGUAACCUCCCAUCAGAGGGGAUAACCCUUGGAAACAGGUGCUAAACCGAUACUGAUGGAUGAACCCGCGGUGCAUUAGCUAGUUGGGGAGGUAACGGCUCACCAAGGCCACGAUGCAUAGGCGGCGUAAGAGGGUGAUAGGCAACAAUGGGGCCGAGGAAGGGGCCAGACUCCUACGGGAGGCAGCAGGAGUGGAUCGGCGGCAAUGGACUAAAGUCUGACCGAGAAACGCCGGGUGAGUGAAGAAGGUUUUCGGACCGAAAAACUCUGGUGUUAGAGAAGCGGUAGCUAACCAGAAAUCCACGGCUAACUACGUGCCCGCAGCCGCGGUAAUUC
rnacentral:rRNA from 1 species